rnacentral:misc_RNA from 1 species
UGUGUGUGCGCGCGCCUGCCCGUGUGUGCGCGCGUAUAUUUGGUAGUGCGUGUGCGUGUGUGUGUGUGUUUGUGUUUGUGUUUGUGUGUGUGUGUGUGUGUGUGUGUGUGUUUGUGUGCGCGUUAUCUUCCGUGUGCCGUUAGUGUCGUAAUAUUGUAGCUGCGGGCCCAGCGAUCGCAUCGCCGCCUCCGCCAACGCCGCCGAACGGUCGACCCGACCAAGAGAUUCGUCGAACCGACCGACGACAUUAAUUGUCACAUCGUGUCGUGGAACGAAUAAGGAUGAGUACCAACAGCGAUAACGCCGCUAGGCUGAACGUGCCGGAUGAGUUGAGAGAAUUGCUGCUCGACUUCACGAUCGGUUACUUGCUCGAGCAGCCCAACAAUCUCAUCGACUAUGGCAUAGAGUUCUUCGAAAAACUCAAGAACACCAAGUCGUCCUCCAGCACAAAGCAGCAGACCGCUGGAGAUUUUAGCGACGAAGACGACGCUUCAGACAUAGAAGCUCCACCAACACGUUAUAGUUCUAGACGUAAAUCAGUUUUUGCAGAAACAUAUAAUCCAGAAGAAGAUGAAGAAGAAGAGGGACCAAAUGUUGUAUUUCCUAAAUCUGAUGAUCAACGUCAAGCACUUGCAGCUAGUGUUAAAAAUAUAUUCAUAUUCAGGGCCUUGGAUCCUGAACAAAUGAACAAUGUGAUUGAUGCAAUGUUUGAUCGCGAGGUGCAUGCUGGAGAUGAUAUUAUUAAACAGGGUGAUGAUGGUGAUAACUUUUAUGUUAUCGAUAGAGGUACAUUUGAAGCUUAUGUCACGGAUGCAGAUGGAAAUGACCGUUUGGUGCAUACAUAUGAACAUAAAGGUAGUUUUGGAGAACUUGCAUUACUUUAUAACAUGCCUCGAGCAGCAACUAUUAAAGCAAAGUCAGAUGGCCUUCUGUGGGCUAUGGAUCGUCAGAUAUUUAGACGUAUUGUAUUGAAGAGUGCAUUUAAAAAACGUAAAAUGUAUGAAGAGCUCAUUGAAGUGGUUCCUAUGUUAAAAACAUUACAAUCAUAUGAGCGCAUGAAUUUGGCUGACGCUCUAGUCCCUAAAUACUACCAAGACAAAGAUUGCAUUAUAAAUCAAGGUGAUCCGGGUGAUGGCAUGUAUUUUGUAGAGGAAGGCAUUGUUAAUGUAUUAGUAACCAGUGAAACUGGUGAACAAAUUAAGGUUAAUCAAAUAGAAAAAGGUGGUUAUUUUGGUGAACUGGCUCUUGUCACACAUAAAGGUCGUGCUGCGUCAGUGUUUGCUGAAGGCAAAGUCAAACUAGCAUUUUUGGACGUUGAUGCAUUUGAACGUUUGCUGGGUCCAUGCAUGAACAUAAUGCAACGGAAUAUCGAGGACUAUGAAAAUCAACUGGUGAAAAUCUUUGGCUCCAAGCAAAAUAUGACUGAUGUCCGAUGAAUGGUUAACGUUUGACCGGUCGCUACGAUUGUGUUGUACAUCCAUUGACCAUUUGUAGUUGUAUUUUUUCUUAUCCUAACGAUGUUUGAUACAGUUUCAUAAUACAAACAAUUACAAUCAAACAAAUUGACAUCCCUUUUUGUAUACAUAACGUGUAUAUAAUAUAAUAUAUAAUAAUUAUAUUGAUAUGAUAAUCUUUUUGAACAACUACAUCAUAACCUAAGAUAUAAACGACUGUAUUACUUCAAUUUUAUUGUGCGCUUUGAUAUGAAUGUUAGUUGCGUGAUGACAUGUAUAUUAUAUAAUACGAAGAUGAUUAAUACUAAUAUAUCUACAAGAGCUGUAUUUUUAGUCGUACAUUUUAGGUUUCAAAACGAUAUAAUACUAUGAUAAAUACUAUUGUUACUUCGCGGUGUUAUUAUUAUCACGAGGAAUGAUGAACACAAUUUGGUUUUUCAAUUUACUUUGUUCAAAUGUCUAUCUGGGGUAAAGUUUUCUAUUCUUUAUAUAAUAUAAUAAUAAUUACAAUGCAGUACGAGAGUAUUUGAUUAUUAGAAUUUAAGCAGAUUCUAUCUCAUCUCGACCAAUAAACUUUAUUUAAGGCGAACUUCGUUUAAUUGUUAGGUCGUUCAAUAUAAAAACUAGACAUACGUUGCCGAAUCGUUUCUCUUUUAUAUUACACAACAAAAAUCGUAUGCUGUAUCCGAUUGAUCGUGCGUUGAGUAGUUAAAAUAACUUUGGGAUUUCGGGCGAGCCACAGCUCUUAGACAGACUACAUGUUUUAAUGUAAUUUUCCACUGACAUUAAGUUACCUUUUUUUUAACCUCAAAUGUUUGUCGCGAUGUUCACAAUUUUUCAAUUUGUUUUUAUUUAUCUCUUGCUAGUAACGAACCACAAAAACUCCUGAAACACGCUCCCGAACGUAAUUUCACAUUGUAUGAGAAAUAUGUACCUAUAUGUAAUGCCACGACAUUAAUCUUUGUGCUACUCCACCACCUUAAACGGAUUUUGUGUAAUUCAAUUAUAAACAUGUAUGCCUCGCUUUUUUCUUUUUAAUAUUAAAAAACAUUCGGUGACGGAAUGAUUCCAAGAUGACUGCCCUGUAAUAACCCUGUUAGAGAUAAAAUGCCGUUUUAAAAACUAUAACCGUGUACCAAAACACCUCUAGGCCAUAAUCAACUAACCCCAAUAAUAUUAUUUUAUUUAGGCGGUAGGUGAUAAAAAUUUAACAAAAAUAGCCAUAUAAUAAUAUAUAUAUAUAUAUACCUAUGAAGACUUAAUUUAGAUGUUUAAUUCAUAAUGUUAGAGUCACAAUUAUUAUGAUUAAUAAUUAUAAUAUAAUAAUAAUGUUUUAUAUAAUAUAUAAUAUCCGGGUGCAAUAAAUGUAUAGGUUUUACAUUUAUCUAUACAUUAUUAUUUAUAGGUAACCCAAUAAUUUUGUUUUUGUUUUGUGUUUUAUGUUUGUUUUUAUUUUGUCUUACUCUAGUUGUUAUUUAACACACCCAUCGUAUUAGGCACGUAAAAUAUUGUAUCGUAGUAAUUGUUUUUUUUCUAUCGUAUUAGUGAAAUAAUA